GGUAGAUAGGUUGCUGGUGUGCCUCGCGGUCUUCAAAACCGUUGUGAAGGGUUAGGAGCUCUUCGGGUGGGUUCGAUUCCCACCUCCU
rnacentral:tRNA from 1 species